rnacentral:rRNA from 1 species
UAAGGAAUAUUGGGCAAUGGGCGCAAGCCUGACCCAGCCAUGCCGCGUGAAGGAUGACGGCCCUACGGGUUGUAAACUUCUUUUGUACGGGAAAAAACCCCCGGUUUCGCACCGGGGUUGAUGGUACCGUAAGAAUAAGCAUCGGCUAACUCCGUGCCAGCAGCCGCGGUAAUACGGAGGAUGCAAGCGUUAUCCGGAUUCAUUGGGUUUAAAGGGUGCGCAGGCGGAAUGAUAAGUCAGUGGUGAAAUCCUACAGCUUAACUGUAGAACUGCCAUUGAUACUGUCGUUCUUGAGUACACUUGAAGUGGGCGGAAUGUGUCAUGUAGCGGUGAAAUGCUUAGAUAUGACACAGAACACCGAUUGCGAAGGCAGCUCACUAAGUUGUAACUGACGCUCAGGCACGAAAGCGUGGGGAUCAAACA